rnacentral:rRNA from 1 species
GAUGAACGCUAGCUACAGGCUUAACACAUGCAAGUCGAGGGGUAACGAGAGGAAAGCUUGCUUUCCUUGUCGACGACCGGCGCACGGGUGAGUAACGCGUAUCCAACCUGCCUAUAACUAGGGAAUAACCUUGCGAAAGUAAGACUAAUACCCUAUGAUUUCCUUUGAUGACAUCAGAUUAGGAAUAAAGAUUUAUCGGUUAUAGAUGGGGAUGCGUCUGAUUAGCUUGUUGGCGGGGUAACGGCCCACCAAGGCAACGAUCAGUAGGGGUUCUGAAAGGAAGGUCCCCCACAGUGUAAAUGAGACACGGUCCAAACUCCUACGGGAGGCAGCAGUGAGGAAUAAUGGUCAAUGGGCGGAAGCCUGAACCAGCCAAGUAGCGUGCAGGAUGACGGCCCUAUGUGUUGUAAACUGCUUUUAUACAGGAAUAAAGUUAGCCACGUGUGGUUAUUUGUAGGUACUGUAUGAAUAAGGACCGGCUAAUUCCGUGCCAGCCGCCGCAGUAA